AAACUACAUACCAUUUUUCUGCUCUUACAGCCCCACCUGGAGUUUCAUGGCCAUCGUGAAUUCUCUAUGUUGGCCCCUAGGUUACAAGUGGUGGGUGUUACUCAGCACAGGAGUAAGCUGCCUGAAUUAAAGGCCUGCAGCUUCUGCAUGAAUAAAUGCUGCUUGCUCAUUCUGUAGUGCUCCAGGAAGAGAUGUGCAAAGUUGUUACCUUCCUGCUAUUCCAAUGUACAACAGCUAAGUCUCUUUUAUCCUUAGGAAAACUACAAGUUUGAGCAAGAAAUCUUCAUGGAGAGAAGUGGAAACAAAACAUCCAGUCCCCACCAAAGGCUCCCAAAUCCAAGCUCACCAGGCUCCUCUGUCCAUGGGAUUUUCCCAGCAAGAAUACUGGAGUGGGUUGCCAUUUCUUCCUGCAGGAGAACUUCCCAACACAGGGGUCGAACCCAUGUCUCCUGCGUCUCCUUCAUUGCAGGCAGAUUCUUAACCUGCUGAGCCAUCAGGGAAGCCCAACACAUCUGCAAACACCCUUUUAAAAAAAGAAACUAUUGAUAAAAGAGAAUGUAUCUGUCCACUUAAAGGGUUAAAAAGUGUAAAAUGAUAUGGCAUCCUAAAAUGAAUUGAUAACAUGCUGACUCCUGCCUUUAUUGUGUGACUUUGUUGGUAUUUGGCUGUAUGUUUGUGCAAUUCUUGACAGUGAAAAGAGGGAUAGAAAAGAAGAAAAAUAAAAGGAUUAGAGCCUUAGGUCACAGUGAAAUUUCAAUGCUCCUUUUAGUAUGUUGACCAAUUAUAGACAUCUGAAACCAUGUGUACGAUAUUAUAGAAUCAUUAACAUGUUGAAAAUACUGGCAAGACAUUAAAGAUCUAG
ensembl:lncRNA